CCCUUAGACGUUCUGGGCCGCACGCGCGCUACACUGACCAGUGCAACAAGCAUCCGUCCUUGGCCGACAGGCUCGGGCAAUCUUUGAACGCUGGUCGUGAUGGGGAUAGACUUUUGCAAUUUUGAAUCUCCAACGAGGAAUUCCUAGUAAACGCAAGUCAUCAGCUUGCAUUGAUUACGUCCCUGCCCUUUGUACACACCGCCCGUCGCACCUACCGAUUGAACGGUCCGGUGAAAUCUUGGGAUUUGCAUGUUGUUGAUUGAUUUCAUGGCGUGCGAAGAACUUGAGUAAACCUUACCGUUUAGAGGAAGGUGAAGUCGUAACA
rnacentral:rRNA from 1 species